rnacentral:rRNA from 1 species
GAGCGCAACUGACGCUGAAGCUCGAAAGUGCGGGUAUCGAACAGGAUUAGAUACCCUGGUAGUCCGCACGGUAAACGAUGGAUGCCCGCUCUGCCGUCUUCGGAUGGCGGGGCCAAGCGAAAGCAUUAAGCAUCCCACCUGGGGAGUACGCCGGCAACGGUGAAACUCAAAGGAAUUGACGGGGGCCCGCACAAGCGGAGGAACAUGUGGUUUAAUUCGAUGAUACGCGAGGAACCUUACCCGGGCUUGAAUUGCUGAGGAAAGAUCCAGAGAUGGUGAUGCCCUUCGGGGCCUCAGUGAAGGUGCUGCAUGGUUGUCGUCAGCUCGUGCCGUGAGGUGUCGGCUUAAGUGCCAUAACGAGCGCAACCCCUCUCUCCGGUUGCCGUCAGGCAAUGCUGGGCACUCCGGAGACACUGCCGCCGCAAGGUGUGAGGAAGGUGGGGAUGACGUCAAAUCAGCACGGCCCUUACGUCCGGGGCUACACACGUUGUACAAUGGCCGGUACAGAGCGUCGGAGGCCCGCAAGGUCCUUCUAAUCGUGAAAUCCGGUCCCAGUUCGGACUGGGGUCUGCAACCCGACCCCACGAAGCUGGAUUCGCU